AUUGAACGCUGGCGGCAUGCCUUACACAUGCAAGUCGAACGGCAGCACGGGUGCUUGCACCUGGUGGCGAGUGGCGAACGGGUGAGUAAUACAUCGGAACAUGUCCUGUAGUGGGGGAUAGCCCGGCGAAAGCCGGAUUAAUACCGCAUACGAUCUACGGAUGAAAGCGGGGGACCUUCGGGCCUCGCGCUAUAGGGUUGGCCGAUAGCUGAUUAGCUAGUUGGUGGGGUAAAGGCCUACCAAGGCGACGAUCAGUAGCUGGUCUGAGAGGACGACCAGCCACACUGGGACUGAGACACGGCCCAGACUCCUACGGGAGGCAGCAGUGGGGAAUUUUGGACAAUGGGCGAAAGCCUGAUCCAGCAAUGCCGCGUGUGUGAAGAAGGCCUUCGGGUUGUAAAGCACUUUUGUCCGGAAAGAAAUCCUUGGCUCUAAUACAGUCGGGGGAUGACGGUACCGGAAGAAUAAGCACCGGCUAACUACGUGC
rnacentral:rRNA from 1 species